AUCAAAUGUGUUACUUUAUAGUGACACUUUAAAAUAUAUUUUUUUUUCGUAAAUUUCCAGAAAUUUUUCUAAAAGAAAACAAAAUUUUUUUCAUACAUAUUGAUAUGUAUGGAUUUUUCGUCGAUUUUUGGUAUAGAGACAACAAUAUGAAACCAUAAUGCAAUCAUAAUUGCAUUUUUACUACAUCAAAUAAGAAGAAAAAGUAGCCGAAUAACAACAAUAACUGCAAUAACAACAUUUUUAUUAGCAGAACAAAAGGGAGAGUGCAACACAAAGGACGAUGUAUGGAUGUGUAGAUAGAAAAUAGAAGCAUCUCUGCCUGAAAGAAGGAGUAUAGAACUGCAUAUAUAUGUAUGACAAGGUGUUGCCUACAGCUGAGGCACAGAUACAGAAAGUAAGAUCAUAAAUGAGAUCGCUUUCCGCAUGUUUGGACUUCGACCGCUCGCGAAUUCCCUUGCACACUACUGGCCAAAUCUGCCGGAAAUCCCCUGCUAACAAUAUAGUAGAGUUCUCCAAAAGCAUGAUGGGGCCGCUAAGCCGAUAUCAUAUCUGCUUCUUUACUUUGGCCAACAAUACAUAACGUAUAGUAGAUGUGUCUUGUGUAUACUAUCAGGAAAAUUCAAACAAAAAAAGGUAUCUCCAAACCCUGCUUUCUGCUAAGCAAUUUUAGGCCGAUAAAUACCUUUCUAUCACAAUUUAUGUUAACUAAACAAUAAAUAAGAAUUUUUCGAAUUGAUGUCCACUUCUCGGAAGAAAAAAGGAAAAAGUAUUCUCCAUGUCAGUUUAGGCAAAGAGCUGCCUCUGUACCAAUUUUCCCGUAACCCUAAUGAUUUAAAAAUAAUUUCAAUUGUUUCCAAUAGAUCGGUCUCAGGUCAAUUUCACAGAGAGUCCUUUUUUACCAUACUCAAAAGACAUCCUGGCAUUCAAGCAGUGGUAUGACCCUCAAAGAUUCAAGUCUCUACGAUCACUGGUUUGGACUGUUUGUUGAUCCGUCAGCCAUUCAGGACAAAGCCUUAUAUAUAUAUGUAUAUAAUAAUAAAAAAUCCACUAGCCUUAAUUACAACAAAAGUGAAUCGCUUACUAUGCAACUACGUUAAGGACAAUUCUCCAAAUGAUAAACAUAAUCGAACUGUGUUUCCCAUAAAAAUUGAAGCAGUUUGUAGAAAAGAAAUUGCUGAUUUAGCUUCAUCAUUAAAUUUUUACCACUUCCAUGCAGCUGCCAAGAGAGCAAAGGGAAACAUAUCGAUGUAAGAUUACAAAUUUACUUACUGCUUAUAUGUAUGUACACGUAUGCUAUAUGUAUUUACGCCUGACAUUUACGACAUGCUCAUAACGCCAACAACUGCAAAUGAGCCAAUAAUAAAAAUCGCAUGAAAAUCUAUAAAAUAAUGAAUGACCAGAAGACUGCGACACAAUACCAAAUGAUGAUGUUGCCGUUGUAAACCAGGUCUAAAGGCGUAGAAGAAAAAAUGUACAAAGCGGACAUGAGCCAGGUUUGCCUGUGAAGCAAAAGAAGAUCCUUCGC